CCUACGGGUGGCUGCAGUGGGGAAUAUUGGACAAUGGGCGAAAGCCUGAUCCAGCCAUGCCGCGUGUGUGAAGAAGGCCUUCGGGUUGUAAAGCACUUUCAGUGGGGAAGAAAGCCUUGGGGCUAAUACCCUCGAGGAAGGACAUCACCCACAGAAGAAGCACCGGCUAACUCCGUGCCAGCAGCCGCGGUAAUACGGAGGGCGCGAGCGUUAAUCGGAAUUACUGGGCGUAAAGCGCGCGUAGGCGGUCUGAUAAGCCGGUUGUGAAAGCCCCGGGCUCAACCUGGGAACGGCAUCCGGAACUGUCAGGCUAGAGGGCAGGAGAGGAAGGUAGAAUUCCCGGUGUAGCGGUGAAAUGCGUAGAGAUCGGGAGGAAUACCAGUGGCGAAGGCGGCCUUCUGGACUGACACUGACGCUGAGGUGCGAAAGCGUGGGUAGCAAACAGGAUUAGAUACCCCUGUAGUC
rnacentral:rRNA from 1 species